AAUAAGCUAUUUAAGAGCGUAAGGUGGAUGCCUUGGCUCUCAGAGGCGAUGAAGGACGUGAUAAGCUGCGAUAAGCUACGGGGAUUGGCACACACAAUUUGAUCCGUAGAUUUCCGAAUGGGGAAACCCACUAUAUUGAAGAUAUAGUAUCCGUUAAGGAGGCAAACCCAGGGAACUGAAACAUCUAAGUACCUGGAGGAAUAGAAAACAAAAGUGAUUCCGCUAGUAGUGGCGAGCGAACGCGGAACAGCCCAAACCAAAAUUGUUUCGGCAAUUUUGGGGUUGUA
rnacentral:rRNA from 1 species